CUUUGACCAAAAAAAAAAACAAUUUUGUAUGAACUUUUUGAAUAUUGAAAUAGCUAGCUAUGAUGCCACGACAAACCUUUUGUUUAUCUUGUCGGUAACGAAAGGGAAGGUUUGAAUGUUAGGUUUAUGCAUGAACAUUAGGUUUGUUACUUCCCCGUGAAGUAGAUGAAACAACGGGACCGUUGUUUCCUCAAUCCAACAACCACCAAAUUAAAGAAGAAAGCGAGAUAGAAAAGAAUAUUGAAUGCCAUACUUAGCCAUUAAGCUCUCUCUCUCUCCCUCUCUCUCUCCCUCUCUCUCUAAAAGUUUCAACAUAAUUAUCCACAAAUAUAUAGAUAUACAAGAGUUUUAUGUAUAUAUAGCCGAUCAACUUCAAUAGCUACGUUGCAAUUUCAGCAAGAAAGGAAGCUGAAGAAAUAUCCAUAGGUCUUUUUUGAUCAAGAGAGAGAGAGAGAAAGAGAGAGAGAUCAGAUCAUCAUCUCCAUCAGAGAGGAAUGCCACCAUGGGGACCGCCGGGAGGAGGGCCAGGAGGUCCGGGAGGGCCGCCGGGCUUUGGUUGCUUAGGUGCCCUCUGUAGCGGUAUAUGCAGCCUUCUUUCAUCUUGUGCUUAUAUCUUGUGCUGCUGCUGCUUGUUUGAGAGCUGCUGUGGGCCAGUGUUCGGCGGCGGCCCUGGUGGACCAGGUGGCCCUGGCGGGGGCCCCCCUCGUUGGUGAACAUCAUCAACUCACUACGUUCCAGGCUUGUUGAUCAUGUUCCUGUAGCUUUUAUCUAUAAUUUUUUUCUGUUGAGUUUGACUACAUGUUAUGUAAUAAACAAGUGAGAGAGAGAUGUUGCAAAUGUUGUGUGCGUUGCAACUUGCUCCUCAAUACUCGGUAUUCUUCCUUUGAAUCGUAUUCAAUUUUUGUGUUUAAUUUCA